GACGAACGCUGGCGGCGUGCUUAACACAUGCAAGUCGAACGAAGUGGCGAACGGGUGAGUAACGCGUAAUCAACCUGCCCUUCAGAGGGGGACAACAGGUGGAAACGACUGCUAAUACCGCAUACUGAAGGAGGGGAUUGCGUCUGAUUAGCUAGUUGGGGGGGUAACGGCCCACCAAGGCGAGGAUCAGUAGCCGGUCUGAGAGGAUGAACGGCCACAUUGGGACGGAGACACGGCCCAGACUCCGACGGGGGGCAGCAGGGGGGAAUCUUGCGCAAUGGAGGAAAGUCUGACGGAGCAACGCGGCGUGAGUGAGGACGGCCUUCGGGUUGUAAAGCUCUGUUAAUCGGGACGCGGUACCGGAAUAGAAAGCCACGGCUAACUACGGGCCAGCAGCCGCGGUAAUAC
rnacentral:rRNA from 1 species